UCGAAGCAUGGGCGGAGCCUGACCCAGCCAUGCCGCGUGCAGGAUGAAGGCCUUCUGGGUUGUAAACUGCUUUUAUCAGGGAAGAAAACACCCAUGCGUGGGGAACUGACGGUACCUGAGGAAUAAGCACCGGCUAACUCCGUGCCAGCAGCCGCGGUAAUACGGAGGGUGCAAGCGUUGUCCGGAUUUAUUGGGUUUAAAGGGUGCGUAGGCGGCCCCUUAAGUCAGUGGUGAAAGCCCGCGGCUCAACCGCGGAACUGCCAUUGAUACUGGGGGGCUUGAGUACAGACGAGGUAGGCGGAAUUGAAGAUGUAGCGGUGAAAUGCUUAGAUAUCUUCAAGAACCCCGAUUGCGUAGGCAGCUUACUAGGCUGUAACUGACGCUGAGGCACGAAAGCGUGGGGAGCGAACAGGAUUAGAUACCCUGGUAGUCCACGCCGUAAACGAUGAUUACUCGAUGUCGGCGACAGACUGUCGGCGUCUUAGCGAAAGCGUUAAGUAAUCCACCUGGGGAGUACGCCCGCAAGGGUGAAACUCAAAUGAAAUUGACGGA
rnacentral:rRNA from 1 species